rnacentral:rRNA from 1 species
GUUGUAUGGUUAAGUGACUAAGCGUACACGGUGGAUGCCUUGGCAGUCAGAGGCGAUGAAGGACGUAUUAACUUGCGAUAAGCCCAGAUUAGGCAGUAAAAGCCACUUGAGUCUGGGAUUUCCGAAUGGGGAAACCCACUAGCAUAAGCUAGUAUCAUUAACUGAAUACAUAGGUUAAUGAAGCGAACCGGGGGAACUGAAACAUCUAAGUACCCCGAGGAAGAGAAAUCAACCGAGAUUCCGGUAGUAGCGGCGAGCGAAACCGGAUUAGCCCUUAAGCUAGUUCUGCGUUAGGUGAAGGUUCUGGAAAGU